rnacentral:tRNA from 1 species
GUGGAUAUAGUUCAGUUGGUUAGAGCGUCAGAUUGUGGUUCUGAAUGUCGUGGGUUCGAGUCCCACUAUCCACC